GUGUGUGUGUGUGUGUGUGUGUGUGUGUGUGUGUGUGUGUGUGUGUUAUAUGUGAAUGUUCCUGCUGAGGUCAGGGGUUGAUGUUGGGUUUCUUCCAUGAUAGCUACCCACUUUGUCUCUUAAGGGGUAGUAUCUCUUCCUGAAUCUGAAACUCACCAGCCCUUACCAGGCUAGAUAGCCUACUUGCCCAGGGAUUUCCGCCAUCUCUAUCUUCUAAAUGCUGGAAUUAGAGACAACCACCACACCUACCAGGCUUUUCCAUGGAUUCCUGGGAUACACACACUGUACUUUACAGCUCACAGUGCCUCUCCACCGUCACGCUGAGCAUCUCUCCUAUGAGGAAGCUCUCCCCACCGUGCUGCAACCAAAGAAGCAUUAUUGAUACUGCAGGAGAUGGAAAUGGAAGACUGUGGAUCCCAGAUCUACGAGUUGAGCCAUGGAGUCCAGGUGCCAUCUUUAGCCUCUCACAGUGCCUGGAAGGGCCUGUCACAACGACCCAUGGAAGAACAGAAGGC
rnacentral:lncRNA from 1 species